GACGAACGCUGGCGGCGUGCUUAACACAUGCAAGUCGAACGGAAAGGCCCUGCUUUUGUGGGGUGCUCGAGUGGCGAACGGGUGAGUAACACGUGAGUAACCUGCCCUUGACUUUGGGAUAACUUCAGGAAACUGGGGCUAAUACCGGAUAGGAGCUCCUGCUGCAUGGUGGGGGUUGGAAAGUUUCGGCGGUUGGGGAUGGACUCGCGGCUUAUCAGCUUGUUGGUGGGGUAGUGGCUUACCAAGGGUUUGACGGGUAGCCGGCCUGAGAGGGUGAACGGCCACAAUGGGACUGAGAUACGGACCAGACUCCUACGGGAGGCAGCGGUGGGGAAUAUUGCACAAUGGGCGGGAGCGUGAUACAGCAACGCCGCGUGCGUGAUGACGGCCUUCGAGUUGUGAACCGCUUUCGCCUGUGACGAAGCGUGAAUGACGGUAAUGGGUAAAGAAGCACCGGCUAACUACGUG
rnacentral:rRNA from 1 species